UAGGGAAUCUUCCGCAAUGGGCGAAAGCCUGACGGAGCAACGCCGCGUGAGUGAUGAAGGUCUUCGGAUCGUAAAACUCUGUUAUUAGGGAAGAACAAAUGUGUAAGUAACUAUGCACGUCUUGACGGUACCUAAUCAGAAAGCCACGGCUAACUACGUGCCAGCAGCCGCGGUAAUACGUAGGUGGCAAGCGUUAUCCGGAAUUAUUGGGCGUAAAGCGCGCGUAGGCGGUUUUUUAAGUCUGAUGUGAAAGCCCACGGCUCAACCGUGGAGGGUCAUUGGAAACUGGAAAACUUGAGUGCAGAAGAGGCAAGUGGAAUUCCAUGUGUAGCGGUGAAAUGCGCAGAGAUAUGGCGGAACACCAGUGGCGAAGGCGACUUUCUGGUCUGUAACUGACGCUGAUGUGCGAAAGCGUGGGGAUCAAACAGG
rnacentral:rRNA from 1 species